UUGGCGGACGGGUGAGUAACGCGUGGAUAACCUGCCGUAUACUGGGGGAUAACACUUAGAAAUAGGUGCUAAUACCGCAUAAGCGCACAGUCUCGCAUGAGACGGUGUGAAAAACUCCGGUGGUAUACGAUGGAUCCGCGUCUGAUUAGCUUGUUGGCGGGGUAACAGCCCACCAAGGCGACGAUCAGUAGCCGGCCUGAGAGGGUGAACGGCCACAUUGGGACUGAGACACGGCCCAAACUCCUACGGAAGGCAGCAG
rnacentral:rRNA from 1 species